GUGCUUCGGCGAUGCCGUUCAACAGUGCCACUCCCCCCGCGAGCGAGGUGUUCGACGAAAUGGCCGGAAGGUAUGCGUCUUCGGUCUUGGCGAUUUCCUUUCAUUUCCGCCAUUAUUCUCGAUAGCUCGUGACUUGUUAUCGUUCGUUAUAGCGGUGGUUCGAACAAUGCAACAAUCGAGUUCGUGAACUUGUUGGACACGAACACGGUUGACAUUGAUCAAGCCCCUUUCGAGCCGUUCGACUAUAAUGAAACGGAGGGCGGCGUGGAUGAUCAUUGUUGUGCGGACGGAUUGGAGGAGAUCGAAGCGGAAGCGUAUGAGCAAUCGCAAGAAAAAUCUGGGAAAAGCCAAAGAUCGAAGAACUACACGAUCUUGGAAAGAUCAAGCUUUGAUUCAAGCAUGGAGUGCGGUGUCUCUUGAUGCAUGCACGGGCAUUUCUCAAACUUCCAAGAGAUAUUGGCAAAGAAUCGAAGAUCAAUACUUCCGCAUUAUGGCAAAGCAUCCCAAUAGGACUCCACGCACAUUUCGGUCGCUUCAAGGGCGUUGGGAGAACAUCAAGCCUAUGUGCAGCUUGCUUGGAGCAAGUACGCAAUGCACCUUCAAGUGGCACCGUGGAGUCCGACUAUGACAAGAUUGCUCAACAUAGAUACAAGGACAUGGAAGCUUCGGAAGGCAGAUUUUUCAAACUAGAGCAUUGUUGGGAGUUGCUCCAAAAGUGCGAGAAGUGGAAGUUGAUCGAUAAAGAAUCCCCACCAAAGAGAGGCUCACUUACAAACAUGGAUGAAUAUGAGGAUGAUGAUGGCCCAAGAAAUUUGCACAAGCCCGAUGGCGACAAAAAGACUAAGGAGAAGAUCAAGAGAGAGUAAGAAGCAUCGAGCUUGAGGGAGAAGAUUGACGCCAUGGUGCAAUCCAACGAGUCGAUGUUGUUGAAGUCGUUGGAGAUCAAGAAAGAAUUGGCCGAGAAGAAGGCGAAGGAGAAGCAAGAAGAGUGGCAAUUGCUUAAGGAAGAGGGGCUGCGCAAAGCUGCCAUCGAGGAGAGAAGAGCACGCGCCGCUGAAAACAAAUCCAUGUCCAUGUUGCUCGCCGAAGAGAACAAGAUCAUGUCAAUGAACCGCAAUGACAUAGACGACCUCACCAAAACAUGACAUGAUAUGGCAAGGAAAGAAAUCUUGAAGAGGAGAAUGGUCGCGUCGGCCGGUCCGUGUUACAGUUCCGGUGAUGUUUUCUCUGCUCCAUAUGGUGGCAAUGUGGAUGAUUUCAGUGCGGGAAUUGGGACAAGCGCCGGAGGUGGAUUCGGUGGCGCCGAUGAACUUCAAGAUGGACUCGAUGGCGCGGAGUGAAGAUCGACCAAGAUGAUGCCGGACAUGGGCACAAACCUUUGCAGGACCCUCUUUUGCGUUUGCCGUAAUGAACUUGGCUUUUAUUUGCGCGUAAAACUGUUUAUGUCGUUUGAAUUUGAACUUGUUUGUGAAACCCUAUGUCAAAUGUGAGAUUUGUUGUUUUUC